rnacentral:rRNA from 1 species
GACGAACGCUGGCGGCGUGCUUAACACAUGCAAGUCGAACGCUGAAGCUCAGCUUUUGUUGGGUGGAUGAGUGGCGAACGGGUGAGUAACACGUGAGUAACCUGCCUCCUUCUUUGGGAUAACGCCCGGAAACGGGUGCUAAUACUGGAUAUUCACUGGUCUUCGCAUGGGGGUUGGUGGAAAGGGUUUUUCUGGUGGGGGAUGGGCUCGCGGCCUAUCAGCUUGUUGGUGGGGUGAUGGCCUACCAAGGCUUUGACGGGUAGCCGGCCUGAGAGGGUGACCGGUCACAUUGGGACUGAGAUACGGCCCAGACUCGUACGGGAGGCAGCAGUGGGGAAUAUUGCACAAUGGGCGCAAGCCUGCUGCAGCGACGCCGCGUGAGGGAUGGAGGCCUUCGGGUUGUGAACCUCUUUCGCUCAUGGUCAAGCCGCAACAAUGGUUGUGGUGAGGGUAGUGGGUAAAGAAGCGCCGGCUAACUACGUG